rnacentral:rRNA from 1 species
UACGUAGGGUGCAAGCGUUGUUCGGAAUCAUUGGGCGUAAAGCGCGUGUAGGUGGUUUUGUAAGUUGGGUGUGAAAUCCCUGGGCUCAACCGAGGAAGUGCAUCCGAAACUACAAAGCUAGAGGACGGUAGAGGAAGGUGGAAUUCCUAGUGUAGAGGUGAAAUUCGUAGAUAUUAGGAGGAAUACCGGCGGCGAAGGCGGCCUUCUGGGCCGGUUCUGACACUGAGACGCGAAAGCGUGGGUAGCAAACAGG